ACGGGUGCGUAACGCGUAUCCAACCUUCCCCCGUUACCCGGGUAUACGCCCGCCGAAAGGCGGAUUAAUCCCCGAUACGUCCCCUGACGGCAUUCAGGGCGGGGACGAAAGGUAUUCCGGUAAGGGAUGGGGAUGCGUCCGAUUAGCUGGUUGGCGGGGUAACGGCCCACCAAGGCGACGAUCGUUAGGGGUUCUGAGAGGAAGGUCCCCCACACUGGAACUGAGACACGGUCCAGACUCCUACGGGAGGCAGCAGUGAGGAAUAUUGGUCAAUGGUCGGAAGACUGAACCAGCCAAGUAGCGUGAAGGAAGACUGCCCUAUGGGUUGUAAACUUCUUUUAUACGGGAACAAACGAUAGUACGCGUACUAUUUUGCGUGUACCGUAUGAAUAAGCAUCGGCUAACUCCGUG
rnacentral:rRNA from 1 species